AAACCAUGAUAUGGGCACCUUCUCUGCAACUCCAUCAAUCGCUCCCAAGCUUCAUAAAGAGAUUCAUCUUCCUUUUGGUAAAAACUAGUUAUUUGCUGACAAAUUUC
rfam:Ricinus communis cultivar Hale ctg_1100012355424, whole genome shotgun sequence.